rnacentral:rRNA from 1 species
GUAGGGGACAAGUGUUAUCCGGAUUCAUUGGGGGGCGUAAAGCGCGUGCAGGGUGGGUGGUUUUAAGUUGGGCGUGAAAUCUCCUGGCUUAACUGGGAGGGGUCGUUCAAUACUGAAGCACUUGAGGGUAGGAGAGGGAGGUGGAAUUUCCGGUGUAGUGGUGAAAUGCGUAGAUAUCGGGAGGAACACCAGUGGCGAAGGCGGCCUCCUGGCCUGCUCCUGACACUAAGACGCGAAAGCUAGGGGAGCAAACGGGAUUAGAUACCCCGGUAGUCCUAGCCGUAAACGAUGGAUACUAGGUGUGGGUGGCAUUGACCCCAUCCGUGCCGUAGCUAACGCGAUAAGUAUCCCGCCUGGGGACUACGGCCGCAAGGUUA